GAUGAACGCUAGCUGGAGGCUUAAUACAUGCAAGUCGAGCGGGAUUGGGUAGCAAUACCCAUGAGAGCGGCGCACGGGUGAGUAACGCGUACACGACCUACCUUUGACUGGGGGAUAGCCCUGGGAAACUGGGAUUAAUACCGCAUAUAAUUCUGAUUAAUAAAGGAUUGGAAUGAAAGUUCAGGCGGUCAGAGAUGGGUGUGCGUCUGAUUAGCUAGUUGGUGAGGUAACGGCUCACCAAGGCGAUGAUCAGUAGGGGGCGUGAGAGCGUGGACCCCCACACGGGUACUGAGACACGGACCCGACUCCUACGGGAGGCAG
rnacentral:rRNA from 1 species